AUUGAACGCUGGCGGCAGGCCUAACACAUGCAAGUCGAACGAGUGGCGGACGGGUGAGUAAUGUCUGGGAAACUGCCUGAUGGAGGGGGAUAACUACUGGAAACGGUAGCUAAUACCGCAUACCAUCAGAUGUGCCCAGAUGGGAUUAGCUUGUUGGUGGGGUAACGGCUCACCAAGGCGACGAUCCCUAGCUGGUCUGAGAGGAUGACCAGCCACACUGGGACUGAGACACGGCCCAGACUCCUACGGGAGGCAGCAGUGGGGAAUGUUGGACAAUGGGCGAAAGCCUGAUCCAGCCAUGCCGCGUGUAUGAUGAAGGCCUUCGGGUUGUAAAGUACUUUUGGCAGAGAAGCGGUAUCCGCAGAAUAAGCACCGGCUAACUACGUGCCAGCAGCCGCGGUAAUUC
rnacentral:rRNA from 1 species